UUCCUGCCUGGGCGGCCUUCUCUUUUCCCCCUAUCAUGUUUCCAAGCUGACCCCACAUGUAUGUUUGAACCAAGCAGCUCAGAUACCAUUUUUUAAUUUCAGCUUUAUACUUUUGUAACUUAAAUAGCAGUUAUCAACCUGCCUUCAUUUUGCUUCCAUAAUAGCUGCUUCAAUGCCUAGGUUUUGUGAAUAUUUAAAACAGAGCAUGGUUUACAACUCUUCUGACCUACCAAGAAAAGGACGUUGCAAGAGAGCUUGCCAUCCCAAUAUGAAGACAAGCGGGCUCUUUAAUGCUCACCACCAGAUGGACAUUCUCUCCAAAUGCAAGAUUCUUGGCAUGGGGUGGCAUAGCAGACCUUUGAUGGCUUUGAUGUAAAGCUCUGAAGUGUGCCAGGACACUUCAUAAAAUGCCACAGCCAGAGAUAACUUUGGGCAAACGAAAGGCAGACUUUCCCUCUCUCCAACCCAGCUAGGCUUUCCAAGAGGCUGGUUUUGCUCCAGGUUUUAUGAACUCAUUUGAAUGCAGAGAUCGGGACCUGUCAGUUUUCUGUACAGUUUUUACAAUGGUGCGUGUAUGUGAAAUUAAGAAGACAAUUUUCUGAAGGAGAGGCCUGUCAAUGACUGAUCACCACGAUGGCUGUGCUCUGCCUCCAGUCAGGGGUAGUGAAUACCCUUCUGAAUACCGGUUGCUGGAAGCCGCAGGAAGGAAGAGGGAUCUUGGGCUCAAAUCCUGCUGUUGGGAUUUCCAUUGGGAUUGCUGUUCAGCUGCUGCGAAAACAGGAUGCUGGACUAGGUGGGCCAUUGGCCUGAUCCAGCAGGCUCUUAUGUUCUUGAAAUGUUGAGCCCCGAAACACUAUAUGCUACCUUAUUUUUUAAAAUCUCUUAAUUCUGUUUUAUCCAACCAUAUACACAUCUGGAUGCUUGUGUUCCAUGUGCUACUUAUUUUGUUUCUUUCAUGCCAGUCGUUGAGCAUAAUAAUAACGGUCUGGGAUAAAAAAAAACUUACGUUCUUAUGUUAUUUGGUUUUUGCUCCUGUUUUUCAAAACAACAACAACACCAGCUUCUGGCUUAGGGGGUAUUAUUUCAUUAUAUAUCUGCAUGAUAUUGUUAUAUGUUGAAACAAUUUAAUAAAAAUUAAGGUAAGGUAAAAUAAAAUAAAGAUUUGAUUUUGCACUUGAUUUGGAUGCGACGUGCCAUUUUGCAGCAGCUUUCUAGAGGAUGUGAGCAACGCGCUUAUAGCCCAUGCUGGAC